CUCGGACAACAGAUAUCUCGACUCUCAGCAUCGAUGGUGUGAAUUGCAGAAUCCCAUGAACCAUCGAGUUUUUGAACGCAAGUUGCACCCAAAGCCUUGUGGCUAAAAGCACGGCUUCUUGGGCAUCACG
rnacentral:rRNA from 1 species